rnacentral:lncRNA from 10 species
UAAUCUAAUUGGGUUCAUUUUAUCCUCUAUCUAACAAUGACAACUCAUUGCCUACACAGCAGGUAGAAGGAGUUUGUUUUCAGAAUUGCCCUCUGACCUAUUUAAGACGCUCAGAUAUUCCCUGAGGCUCCUUGGCCUGGCCACAAAGGCCCUACACAUUCUGGCUGCUUCCUCCUUUCCAGCAUCCUCUCUCACGUCUCCUCUCCUCAGUUCCACCCUCAGGAGGCACCAGAAUUCCUCACUUCUUUGACUACAAGGCACCGUCUUACUCCCAAGACCAGUGAAUCCGAAGGUGGACCACCAGCUGAGGGACUAGAUUCCAGACUGAAUAGAACAACUUUCCCUGUCUCUCCACAUAAAGUGUGUUUGUUUUUCCUCUUACAGGUUUCCUUAAUGACAACAAAAAAGGGAGUAAUCCUACCCACUGUAAGAGUCAUGACUCUUGAUUGCAGCUGACAGAAACUCAUGACAGCCUGCUUUAGAUGAAGGGGGAGAGAAGGACUGGAAGAAUCUUGGAGUUGGGAAUGUCACACGUAAUUGAAGGAAGAACAAGAAAACUAUAAUUCUUCCCCUGGAGGCUGGAGUUUCCAGGAUGUCAAAAUUACCUCUGCUUGGGUGAGCUAUUUCAAGCAGCUGGGAUACCUGUGUCACUCCUGCUGUCUGCCAGUGACUGCCCAGGUGUCUGCUGGUUCCUCCCCAGGAGUAGGGAGGAACCAGGUGGGCUGGCUGGGAUGGGUGGAUAUUUAAAGACCAGGCCUUGGACGCUGCAGCACUUCUAUCUCUGCUUGAUGCCUGCUGCCACGU